ACCUGGUGGCGAGUGGCGAACGGGUGAGUAAUACAUCGGAACAUGUCCUGUAGUGGGGGAUAGCCCGGCGAAAGCCGGAUUAAUACCGCAUACGAUCCACGGAUGAAAGCGGGGGACCUUCGGGCCUCGCGCUAUAGGGUUGGCCGAUGGCUGAUUAGCUAGUUGGUGGGGUAAAGGCCUACCAAGGCGACGAUCAGUAGCUGGUCUGAGAGGACGACCAGCCACACACUGGGACUGAGACACCGGCCCAGACUCCUACGGGAGGCAGCAGUGGGGUAUUUGGACAAUGGGCGAAAGCCUGAUCCAGCAAUGCGCGUGUGUGAAGAAGGCCUUUCGGGUUGUAAAGCACUUUUGUCCGGAAAGAAAUCCUUGGCUCUAAUACAGUCGGGGGAUGACGGUACCGGAAGAAUAAGCACCGGCUAACUACGUGCCAGCAGCCGCGGUAAUACGUAGGGUGCGAGCGUUAAUUGGGAAUUACUGGGCGUAAAGCGUGCGCAGGCGGUCUGUUAAGACAGAUGUGAAAAUCCCCGGGCUUCAACCUGGGAACUGCAUUUGUGACUGGCAGGCUAGAGUAUGGCAGAGGGGGGUAGAAUUCCACGUGUAGCAGUGAAAUGCGUAGAGAUGUGGAGGAAUACCGAUGGCGAAGGCAGCCCCCUGGGCCAUACUGACGCUCAUGCACGAAAGCGUGGGGAGCAAACAGGAUUAGAUACCCUGGUAGUCCACGCCCUAAACGAUGUCAACUAGUUGUUGGGGAUUCAUUUCCUUAGUAACGUAGCUAACGCGUG
rnacentral:rRNA from 1 species